ACAGAAACACACACACAGGGAGAAUGCCAUGUGAAGACAGGCAGAGACUGGGGUAAUGCAGCUACAAGGGAAUGUCAGAGAUUGCUAGCAAACACCAGAAGCUGGAAAAGGCAAGUAAGGAUUGCUCCCUAGAGCUUUCAGAGGGAGGACGGCUCUGCCACAUGCCUUGUUCUUGGACUCCUAGCCUCCAGAAUUAGGUCACCUGUUGGGUAAUAUCACCACAGACUGAAUACAGAAGCAGAUAUUAGCCUCCAGCCUCCUGCUCAUCUGGACACUAGAGAGAUUUCUAAAAAGAUAUAAGGAACAUUUAUGAGCGACCAGAAGGAAGUAUCAAUCAAAUGAAAUGUUUCCAAUCCUAUAAUAGGACACCUUGAUUUAAUCCCAGGAGUGGGAUUUUGCAUAAAGGAAGAAAGCUCAGGAAUGAUAAAUUUACACACCAUGGAUUUAGAAGGGAGUCUAUAACCCCAGAAUCACCAUCAUUUUGGGUGAUCCAUAUGCCUAUCAAUUAAAGUGCUACCUGAGUGCUGUUCAACUUCUUGAGAUGGAUGAAAAAGGAAUGAAAGGAGACAUAGCAAUCUUCAACUCCGCUCCUUUACUUUUGAAUAAGAGGUGAUGGAAGGCAAGGUCAGAGAGAUCUGGGUUCAAAUCUCAUGAUUUAACUGCUAUAUAACCUUGGCCAAAUUAUUUAAACUUUGUGUCUGUUUUUACUUAGCAAUAUAAAGACACUGGUCAUACCUACCACUCAGAAUUUCAAUCAGAAUUAAAUGAAAUAAUAUAUGCAAAGUGCUUAAUAUAGUACACCUGGCAUGGAGUGGUAACUCAAUAAAUAGAUCUUUUGUUAUAA
rnacentral:antisense_RNA from 1 species